CAUAUGGAUCCAACUUUAUGGCGAACGCUGUAAUUAUUGAAUGGCUUCCCCGAAAAACGUUGUAACCGACAUUUAUUUUCAAAAUAGAGAUUUCAGUGAAAUAAGGUUGUAAUUUUCAUAGGUCCAAGUCAAGUUUUGAUAUUUUGAGCUGUUUUGGAGUGGUAUUUUGCUUGAUUUUGCUUUGAAAAAGUAAUGUAAAUGUAUUUUUUUGUUCUUAAACAAUUCCUAAACAAAUAUGGAUCCAGAAACAGGUGCAGUUAAAACUUUUAAAGAUUUUCUUGAACUGUACAAUAAAAUGACCGAAAUGUGCUUUAAAAGGUGCGUCGACAAUAUGAACACAAGAAAAUUAGAUCAGGAUGAAAUUGCAUGCGUGGACGAUUGUUCGUUUAAAGUUUAUAUACUUUAACAACAAACUUAUGCAGAACUUUAUCCAAGCUCAAACGGAAA